UGGCACCCUGUGAGGCAGCACAGCUCGCACGCCCCAAAGGGCCUACAGAGCUGUCUUAACUGUUUUAUAAACCCCUGGGCAAAGCAGUUCACUGGGGCCCUUCUUACACAACUACUCACAGAAAUAAAAAUGUAAUUAUCGGUAUCUCCAACAAAUGCAGUACAUAAAUACAAUACAUUCACAAACUGCUGAAUAUACACACAGACUCCUG